rnacentral:rRNA from 1 species
UACAGAGGGUGCGAGCGUUAAUCGGAAUUACUGGGCGUAAAGCGUGCGUAGACGGUUAUCUAAGUCGGAUGUGAAAGCCUCGGGCUCAACCUGGGAAUUGCAUUCGAGACUGAAUAGCUAGGGUGCGGUAGAGGGGGAUGGAAUUCCGCGUGUAGCAGUGAAAUGCGUAGAUAUCAGAAGGAACAUCAGUGGCGAAGGCGGCUUUCUGGACCAAUACUGACGAUCAGGUGCGAAAGCGUGGGGAGCAAACAGG